rnacentral:rRNA from 1 species
UACGGAGGGGGCUAGCGUUGUUCGGAAUUACUGGGCGUAAAGCGCACGUAGGCGGCUUUGUAAGUUAGAGGUGAAAGCCCGGGGCUCAACUCCGGAAUUGCCUUUAAGACUGCAUCGCUAGAAUUGUGGAGAGGUAAGUGGAAUUCCGAGUGUAGAGGUGAAAUUCGUAGAUAUUCGGAAGAACACCAGUGGCGAAGGCGGCUGACUGGACUGGUAUUGACGCUGAGGUGCGAAAGCGUGGGGAGCAAACAGG